rnacentral:misc_RNA from 1 species
UCACCCCUCAAGCCCCGUGCUUGGUGUUGGACGGCCGGUCGAGCGAAUCGACCCCUCCGAAAGACAAUGACGGCGGCCUGUGGUUCCCCCGGUACACUGAGCUUUUCACCGAGCACGUAUCGGACAAGGGCGCCCGGGACCCGGUCCUCUCCUCUCAGCAGGAAACUUCUCAA